rnacentral:rRNA from 1 species
UACGUAGGGUGCGAGCGUUAAUCGGAAUUACUGGGCGUAAAGCGUGCGCAGGCGGUUUUGUAAGUCUGUCGUGAAAUCCCCGGGCUUAACCUGGGAAUUGCGAUGGAGACUGCAAGGCUGGAGUGCGGCAGAGGGGGAUGGAAUUCCGCGUGUAGCAGUGAAAUGCGUAGAUAUGCGGAGGAACACCGAUGGCGAAGGCAAUCCCCUGGGCCUGCACUGACGCUCAUGCACGAAAGCGUGGGGAGCAAACAGG